GCCUUGAUAGCUCAGUCGGUAGAGCAGGGGACUGAAAAUCCCCGUGUCGGUGGUUCAAUUCCGCCUCGAGGCA
rnacentral:tRNA from 1 species